rnacentral:rRNA from 1 species
UACAGAGGUCUCAAGCGUUGUUCGGAUUCAUUGGGCGUAAAGGGUGCGUAGGUGGCGAGGCAAGUCAGAUGUGAAAUCCCGGGGCUCAACCCCGGAACUGCAUUUGAAACUGCCUUGCUCGAGUACUGGAGAGGAGACUGGAAUUUACGGUGUAGCAGUGAAAUGCGUAGAUAUCGUAAGGAAGACCAGUGGCGAAGGCGAGUCUCUGGACAGUUACUGACACUGAGGCCCGAAGGCCAGGGGAGCAAACGGG